GUGGGGAAUAUUCCGCAAUGGACGAAAGUCUGACGGAGCAACGCCGCGUGAGUGAUGAAGGUUUUCGGACUGUAAAGCUCUGUUGUUUAGGACGAAAGUGCCUGUUGCGAACAGUUACAGGUAUUGACGGUACUAAACGAGGAAGCCACGGCUAACUACGUGCCAGCAGCCGCGGUAAUACGUAGGUGGCAAGCGUUGUCCGGAAUUAUUGGGCGUAAAGAGCAUGUAGGCGGAGAGUUAAGUCUGUUGUGAAAAUGCGGGGCUCAACCCCGUAUUGCGAUGGAAACUGAAUUUCUUGAGUGUCGGAGAGGAAAGUGGAAUUCCAAGUGUAGCGGUGAAAUGCGUAGAGAUUUGGAAGAACACCAGUGGCGAAGGCGACUUUCUGGACGAUGUCUGACGCUGAGGCGCGAAAGCUAGGGGAGCGAACGGGAUUAGAAACCCUUGUAGUCC
rnacentral:rRNA from 1 species